rnacentral:pre_miRNA from 14 species
UCAAGUCUUCUUUGUUCUACUUCGUGUAAUACGUUGUGAACUGGAACUAACCAGUUCACAACGUAUUACACGAAGUAGAACAAAGAAGACUUGAA